rnacentral:rRNA from 1 species
CGAGGAACAAUUGGAGGGCAAGUCUGGUGCCAGCAGCCGCGGUAAUUCCAGCUCCAAUAGCGUAUAUUAAAGUUGUUGCAGUUAAAAAGCUCGUAGUUUGACCUAGGGUCCGGUCAGCUGGUCCGCCUCACCGCGAGUACUAGUUUGACUGGGCCUUUUCUUCUGGGGAACUGCAUGGCCUUCACUGGCUGUGUUAGGGAACCAGGACUUUUACUUUGAAAAAAUUAGAGUGUUCAAAGCAGGCCUUUGCUCGAAUACAUUAGCAUGGAAUAAUAGAAUAAGACGGCUUUCUUAUUUUGUUGGUUUCUAAGAGAGCCGUAAUGAUUAAUAGGGAUAGUCGGGGGCGUCCGUAUUCGAUUGUCAGAGGUGAAAUUCUUGGAUUUUUCGAAGACGAACUACUGCGAAAGCAUUCGCCAAGGAUGUUUUCAUUAAUCAGUGAACGAAAGUGAGGGGAUCGAAGACGAUCAGAUACCGUCGUAGUCUUCACCGUAAACUAUGCCGACUAUGGAUCGGUCGGUGUUUUUUUGUUGACCCGAUCGGCACAUUACGAGAAAUCAAAGUUUUUGGGUUCUGGGGGGAGUAUAGUUGCAAGGCUGAAACUUAAAGAAAUUCAGAUUGAGAGCUCUUUCUUGAUUUUGUGGUUGGUGGUGCAUGGCCGUUCUUAGUUGGUGGAGUGAUUUGUCUGCUUAAUUGCGAUAACGAACGAGACCCUAUCCUGCUAAAUAGCCCGGCUGGCUUCUGCAAGUCGUUGGCUUCUUAGAGGGACUUUUGGCUCAAGCCAAAGGAAGGAGGGCAAUAACAGGUCUGUGAUGCCCUUAGAUGUCCUGGGCUGCACGCGCGCUACACUGACAGAGACAGCGAGUUCAUUCCUUGGCCGAAAGGCUUGGGUAAUCUUGUUAAACUCUGUCGUGCUGGGGAUAGGGCAUUGCAAUUAUUGCCCUUCAACGAGGAAUGCCUAGUAAGUUCGACUCAUCAGGUCGAGCUGAUUACGUCCCUGCCCUUUGUACACACCGCCCGUCGCUACUACCGAUUGAACGGCUCAGUGAGGCCAUCGGAUUGGCUCCAGUUGUUGGUAACGAUGACCAGAGCCGAAAAGUUGGUCAAACUUGGUCGUUUAGAGGAAGUAAAAGUCGUAACAAGGUUUCCGUAG